UCGGUAGGCUGGUUUGGCGGGCGUCUUAGCUGGAAACGGCUAAGAGGAUGACUGGGUGAAUUGCUGGGAAACCCUAAGAGCCUUUGGCGCCACAACGGAGCUGGAAACGGCAGACGUGACGGCGGAAAAAGCCAAAGGAUUGGGCAAUCAGCAGCCAAGCUCCUGUCCCGAAAGGUGGAGAAGGUUCAACGACUAGGGCAUACCACCUAAGGCGAGUGCUAUGGUGAUGAAGCCCGUAGGGGAGGCCGAUGCCGAACCGAAGCGCCCAGCCCCUAACAGGUCAAGCUGAGGGUGAAGAGGUAGUCUGCACAACGGUCGAAAGACGUUG
rnacentral:ncRNA from 1 species